UCUCCGUUGGUGAACCAGCGGAGGGAUCAUUACUGAGUUCUUACAAACUCCCAACCCUUUGUGAAUCAUACCACUGUUGCCUCGGCGCCGAGCGGCAGCUACCCGGGAGCUACCCUGUAGAAGCGAGAGCAUCUACCCUGUAGCUACCCUGUAGUUGCACUCAACGCUCCGCCGGCGGACCACUCAACUCUGUUUUACAGUGUAUCUCUGAGUACUUAAACUAAAUAAGUUAAAACUUUCAACAACGGAUCUCUUGGUUCUGGCAUCGAUGAAGAACGCAGC
rnacentral:misc_RNA from 1 species